GGGACUUUUUACAGUAAAAGGUAGCAAUUUUAUUUUAUCCAAUAAAUGCAUUGAUAAUAUCCACAGAUUUUUAAAUAGUCAAUCAAAUGAACUUAAACUAUUAAAAUUGCAACAAACAUUUGUUUUGGCCCAAACUACAAAAACAAACAAAUUUAAAACUAGUUUAAACACACUGGUUUAAUCAUCUAUACAUGUCAUUAUAACUAUAUUGUAUAAAUAUUAUUUCAAAGACCUACAUCAUGCUAACAAUUAAAAGCUGAAUGACAUGACAUAACAGGCGAUUGCCCUCUGAGUGCACCUGAAAAGACAUGAAUGACACUUCUCAUAAAGCUUGAGAAGCAUACAGGACAAGUAGAACAAUUAGUUCAAAUAAAAACACAAAAGUCAGUAGAAUUUAAUGCAAACUCAAAAAAUGCAAUUAUGAACCAAUGAUAAUUAAUUUUCAAGAAACUGCAGCUAAUGAACGUCUUUUGUUUAGGAGGAUGAGUUUUCACCACUGAAGCUUUAUUCAGAGGGGAUUUUGUUCUUGAGUACAAGUUUGGGUGCAUGGAUGCAUCGAAAGAAGAUGGGUCUUUUGGGAGACUUGUAAAUGAUGACCACAAAGCUCCUAACUGCAAAAUGAAAAUCAUAUCUUUGCUGUGUGCAACAUACUUCCAGGAGAAGAUAUAACCUACAAUUAUGGAGAUUCUGGUUAUGUCCCAUAAUGCUUCUGUCUCCUCACCUGCUUUGGACAACAUGAAGAUGAGUGAUCCUCACAAACAAACUGAGCCACAACAGUCAGACAAAGCAAGAAGAUCAGGGAAUAAGACGGUAACCCUUUCAUUCAGGCACCAGGUAGCCUAUCUAGUGAUAUUUGCUGCUAAGUGAACAGGGCAGAGUAACCAGAACAAGGUAAGACAGACCCUUUGGCAGGUUUAUUUAAAAUGUAAUCUUGUUCUAACUAUAUAACAUCAUACAAUUGUGUCUUAAAGCAAUUUAUUUAAAGAUAAAAGGAUAGCUCAAUUAUGUAUUUUCACAUGCCAGAUAUUCUGGAGUUAAUUCAUACAGUAUGACCAAUAGUACACAUACAGAU